UUUAGGAUUAGGAUCUUCGUGGUGCAAAGGUUGGGCCCUUCGCUACUGCCGGUGUAAAAUAAAAUGGCUGAGACCACCACCGGCCAAGCGGCGUCAUUUGCACAGCGCCAUGGAGACACCUCAGCUAGAGAGCUCCCCUGCAUCCCGGCUCUGCCCUUCGAGCUGCGAGUACCAUCGACUGCUUGACAGGUCACCAAAACUCCCAUAAAUACCACCUCAAGGUUUAUGGUAGGCCUAGCAAAGGUGCCGAGUCCAUGCAGCCCGACUUACGAGUCCACAGGCAGUGGCCCCGAAGUGCAAGAAACACGGCAUUUCUCCCUGCAAGAACAGAAGUGCAAGAUGUGAUGUCAGCCUCAUUCUCACUGGAACUGGUGACUGUUUGGGCACUGAUGCCACUCAGAACAAGCUGGCUCAGCACUUUCCCCAGCCCCUCAGAGGAAAGGAAACGAAACAAUGGGCCUAAAUGAAGGAAGUGCUUUUUCCAGUGUCUGAACUGAGCAGUUCCACCAACCACCUUCAUGCUGACCACAAAACCUACGCUGAAGCGGAGAAGAGAGCUGACCCCAGCACAGUUCUCUACUGACAAGGCAGAAAGCUGAACUGCUGCAUCUCGAGGUGAUCUGCAAAUACGGUUUACCCAAACAGUGAUAGCCCGAGCCCUCAACAGCGUUUCGGUGCCCAGCUUUCACUGGCGUCCCACGGCAAUGCGAGGAGAAUCCCACGCUCCCACAAAACACAUACUCUGCGUUUUCCACUGCAUUCCUGGGUAUGGCGAUGAGGAUCUGAAAAGAAAACCUCACGUCAGCUGCGAUCCUUCUGAGCAGGAAAACACAACCUGAAUUCUGGCCUCCUGAAUGCAGAAGGAGCUCAGAUGGAGUCUCGGGUACUUUCAAGGACUGCUCGCUCUUCAGUUGCUCUGAAGUUGGGUACUUCCAGAAGAUAUUCCAGAAGCAAUUUUCUGGUAGAUCUGGAUUUCACCCUGGAUUUUUGCAGGACAAAUGAUCUAAGAAACUGCAUGGUGCAGAAAGUAAAUGCCAAAAAACCGAGAAAAAACAGCCGCGAGUACCUAACUGAUGGGAAAAACGACUAUAUACAUGUUCUCAAUAUGUAAAAUACAAUUUAUUGUAUUUAGGCCAUUCAUAAGUAUCAACACAAUGUAUCAUGUUUGAAACAAACAUCUUACCAAUAAAUACUAUCUAAACA